rnacentral:lncRNA from 1 species
UGGCUGCCUGGCCACAACGAGGAUAUGGAAAACUUAGCCCAUGGUGGUGGUGGUGGGGACUAAACCCUUCUUCUCCAAAAAAAAAAAAAAAAAAAAACUGUGGAAAAACAAUGCUGAACUUCACGUUGCCCCCUCGUGGCUUUAUCAUAUCAUAAUCAUUCUCGCUACUAUUGGUUUUAGACAAUUGACAAUUACUCGAUGGUUUAAAGUAACCCUAAAAACACUGUAGUAUAUGUAUAUAUAAUCUGGUUCAUCGGUAAUGAAAAUUUUAGACUUUAAUAAAUUUUU